GAAUGUGAGAGCAAUUUGGCUGGGACAUAUAACACUCUGUGACCACUAGGUUGACUCAUCAGAUAAAAGGGCCAGAGGAGCCUGUCCCCUUCCUCCCUCUCAUUUCCGUCACAUCUUUUUCAAAGUCUUAAGAUGGAAGGAAAUGCUCUACCUAGACAGAAGAGACCCAUGCGUCAGUCAAGGAAAUAGGAAUGACUACGCUUUCUUCCCCUAAGGUCUCUAAGCUUUCAAAGGCUCUUUUUUUCUUUGAAAUCCCAGUGUAAGAAUAUGA
ensembl:misc_RNA 7SK 7SK RNA